rnacentral:rRNA from 1 species
UUUCCGGUUGAUCCUGCCGGAGGCCAUUGCUAUCGGAGUCCGAUUUAGCCAUGCUAGUCGAGCGAGGUUAGCCCUCGCGGCGAACAGCUCAGUAACACGUGGCCAAGCUACCCUGCAGAGGGGGACAGCGUCGGGAAACUGAGGUUAACCCGUCAUACCGAUCUCAGGCUUGAAUCGCAGAGAUCACCAAACGCCCCGGCGCUGUAGGAUGUGGCUGCGGUUGAUUAGGUUGACGGUGGGGUAACGGCCCACCGUGCCCAUAAUCAGUACAGGUUGUGAGAGCAAGAACCUGGAGACGGAAUCUGAGACAAGAUUCCGGGCCCUACGGGGCGCAGCAGGCGCGAAACCUUUACACUGCACGCACGUGCGAUAAGGGGACUCCGAGUGCGAGGGCAUAUCGUCCUCGCUUUCGUGUACCGUAGGGUGGUACACCAACAAGGGCUGGGCAAGACCGGUGCCAGCCGCCGCGGUAAUACCGGCAGCCCGAGUGAUGACCGAUCUUAUUGGGCCUAAAGCGUCCGUAGCUGGCUGCGCAAGUCCGUCGGGAAAUCCACUCGCCCAACGAGUGGGCGUCCGACGGAAACUGCACAGCUUGGGACCGGAAGGCUCGAAGGGUACGUUCGGGGUAGGAGUGAAAUCCCAUAAUCCCGCACGGACCACCGAUGGCGAAAGCACUUCGAGAAAACGGAUCCGACAGUGAGGGACGAAAGCUAGGGUCUCGAACCGGAUUAGAUACCCGGGUAGUCCUAGCUGUAAACGAUGUUCGCUAGAUGUGGCACAGGCUACGUGCCUGUGCUGUGUCGUAGGGAAGCCGAGAAGCGAACCGCCUGGGAAGUACGUCCGCAAGGAUGAAACUUAAAGGAAUUGGCGGGGGAGCACUACAACCGGAGGAGCCUGCGGUUUAAUUGGAUUCAACGCCGGAAUU